rnacentral:rRNA from 1 species
UGGGGAGCUGUAAGUAAGCUUUGAUCCAGAGAUUUCCGAAUGGGGAAACCCAGCAUGAGUUAUGUCAUGUUAUCGAUAUGUGAAUACAUAGCAUAUCAGAAGGCACACCCGGAGAACUGAAACAUCUUAGUACCCGGAGGAAGAGAAAGAAAAUUCGAUCCCCUUAGUAGCGGCGAGCGAAACGGGAAGAGCCCAAACCAACAAGCUUGCUUGUUGGGGUUGUAGGACACUCUAUACGGAGUUACAAAGGACGACAUUAGACGAAUCAUCUGGAAAGAUGAAUCAAAGAAGGUAAUAAUCCUGUAGUCGAAAAUGUUGUCUCUCUUGAGUGGAUCCUGAGUACGACGGAGCACGUGAAAUUCCGUCGGAAUCUGGGAGGACCAUCUCCUAAGGCUAAAUACUCUCUAGUGACCGAUAGUGAACCAGUACCGUGAGGGAAAGGUGAAAAGCACCCCGGAAGGGGAGUGAAAUAGAACCUGAAACCGUGUGCUUACAAGUAGUCAGAGCCCGUUAAUGGGUGAUGGCGUGCCUUUUGUAGAAUGAACCGGCGAGUUACGAUUUGAUGCAAGGUUAAGCAGUAAAUGUGGAGCCGUAGCGAAAGCGAGUCUGAAUAGGGCGUUUAGUAUUUGGUCGUAGACCCGAAACCAGGUGAUCUACCCUUGGUCAGGUUGAAGUUCAGGUAACACUGA